CUGAGGGGGAAGCAGCAGAGGAGGCUGCGGAGCGCUUCUCCCGAAAGGUGUUUCCUGAGGAAAUACAGCAUGUCUUGGAAUUGCAGGAAGAAAAUAGUUGUUUUGUAAUAAAUACUCAGGCCCUGUAUCCAGACCUGGUCUAUUCUUCUCCUGGUUGGAACAGCUGUAUUCCUGCUCCCUCUUCCAGAGCUUCUGACCGUUCUCUGAAGUUGCGUGUUGGAAUAACGCACCUCUUGGCAUCUUCAGCUCAACCUCUGACCAGCAUCGUGGCUAGUCCUUCAGAAUGGUGCCUCUUGGCUUCUUUGGCUCUUGACCUCAUCACCAAGCCAUUGUCUGUUGCAUAGUUGUCAUCGUGAAACACAAUGCAAGCACAAGAGCAGAGUUUUAAACACCAUGCCUAUCUUGGAGAAAUUGAAGGAUGCAAAGAAGAAAAUUUGUUCGGGAUUGUAUCAAAACCUUAUGUGCUCCCAGACCUUGCUGUUGAAGAGCUGCCCUGUCAGAGUAGCCAUAAGGUAUUCAAAUUUAGCGUUCUUGUAGAAAUAAAAGAAAUCAAAGUAUGCAACAGCAACAUUUAACUUUGGAAAGGGGAGCCAUGCAAAACAAGGAGGUCUGUCAAAAGAAUAGUGUUUAAGGGGUUGUAAUGUGGAGGUUGCUUCAAGACACAAGUAUUAGAAAUGCAGCCCAGGGGCAGGUCACUUGUCAAAACACUCAAGAAGAUCUCAGAAAUAAUGGUGGCCUUUAACAGAGUGGGAGAGGCUAUCUGACGUUAAAAAACGCCUUCCUAGGAAAGAGAAGUUGUGUCCGAACAAAGAAAAUAGAAAAGGCGAUCUAUCAAAUGUAGAACUACUGUGUGGCAACCAGAACGAUCUCAAAGAGAAACUUGCUGAAGGCGUAGAAAAAUGUUUGUGUUCAUUAGAAUUAAUAUCUGAUCACCUGCCAUCUUACCAGCUUCGUCAAAAGCGUAACAAGAAGUGCUCAGGGAGAAAUAAGGCUGUAGCAGAAAAGAUGCCGCAUUUCUGUUCACUGCAGAAGAUUCUCCUCAGGGCAGAGCCUUGUCUUGGCGUGGGCAUACAUCGGAGGAACUGGAAAUGUCAGUGGGGUUUAAGCUUUGAAGUGACCAAUGAGAUAUUCAGGACCAGAAUAGAAGGCUUAAAAGGAGCUGGGAUGUGACAUUACUUAGCUACUAGCAGUGGUUCCAGCUAGGUGGCCAGGAUGCUGGUUUAACCGAUCUCCAGGAAUGACCUGAAGACCUACAGAAGAGAAGCCUGACCAGGCGGGUUGAUCCAAGCCAUGGGUACCAGAAAGCGUCGAUCACCAGAUGCACGUGGCAUAUUUGGAGUCAGCACAGCUCUUUCAGAGGAAGGUGCUGCUUCCCUUGUAUGGCUCUGGAGGAAGGAUGGAGCAGCAGACGGCUACCGCUAGAGAGUGCAUAAAAAGAAGAGGAAAAAGCUACAGAAGCUCAGAUCUUCACACCCAGGCACACGUGCGUACCUGCGUGUAUAUGCCCAUGUCUCACGUGUACAUUGGAAGAAAGCGAUGCAUAUCACCCAGCCAAAUUCUGUGCUGCUGCUUUUCCUGCCUUAUUUUUAGUUAGUUUGCUGUAUUUGAAUGACUGUAUAGAGACUCCUAUCGUGUAUCAAAAGCAUCUUCUAUCCUUGGAGUAACGGCAAGAAGGGGAACUACCCAGCGUGAGGUCCGACGGGCAGCCCAUCGGUUCAGGCUUCUCUUUUUAGUGCAUCCCUGGGUAGAUUUACUCAGCAAGGUGUCAUUUUAUAGGGAUUGGGGGCAACAAGCAGUAGGAGUUAAAGCUAUGCAAACCCAGUCAAAUACAGGGGAAAAAAAAAAAAAGAAAAU